AUGGCCUGGGCCCCUCUGCUCCUCACGCUGCUCACGUACUGCUCGGGUUCCAGCUCACAGCCUGUGCUGACUCAGACGCCCUCGGUGUCCGUGUCCCCCGGAGAGAAUGUGAGACUGGCCUGCACCAUGUCCUCAGGCAUCAGUAGCUAUGGAAUAGGCUGGUUCCAACAGACCCCCGGGAAUCCUCCCAGAUACCUGCUCUAUUAUUACAGUGAUUCUAACACAGGCAGGGGCUCUGGGGUCCCAGACCGGUUCUCUGGCUCUGCCUCCGGCAGUGUUGGCUACUUAACCAUCUCUGGGCUCCAAGCCGAAGAUGACGCUGAUUAUUACUGUGCAACUUGGGACAGCAGCGCUAAGAUGCUCACAGUGGUGUAA